UUACCAAAAACAUAGCCCCUAGAUCUCUAUUAGAGGUGACGCCUGCCCGAUGGUUUAUCCUAAGUUAACUAACGUUAACGAACCUGAACUCAAUGGCCGCGGUAUUUCUGACCGUGAUAAUGUAGCGAAAUCAAUCGUCACUUAAUUGCUGACCCGUAUCAAAGGUAUUACGAAUGUUCCCCUGUCUCAAGAAAAACCCCUGUGAAAUUGAAGGGGCCGUGCAUAUGCGGCCUAACACCCUGUAAGACGAAAAGACCCUAUUGAGCUUUACUAUACCCUUUUCUUAAACCCCUAAGAAAAUGAGAAACCCUCUACUCUUAGUUUCAGGAAAGGUUGGUAGUUUCGUUGGGGCGACGACCUUUCAAAAAGUAACAAAGGUUAGCGAAGGUUUUCUAUUUAAUGAUUUUUAGCCUGACUGUUUGGCUAAUAAGCCUACCAGACACUUCCGUGAGCCAUAGAUUUCCAUUUUAUCUUAAAAGAUAAAAUGCCAUAAUAUAAAAGUUACCAUAGGGAUAACAGCGUAAUUUUGUCGAAGAGCUCUUAUCGAUGACAAAGAUUGCGACCUCGAUGUU
rnacentral:rRNA from 1 species